rnacentral:sRNA from 1 species
GAACCAAGCAACAGCAGGUCUGAAAUUCUCCAGCAGAAACUCGAACAUGACACAGUCCAGGACAAGAUCUCCCUUGGAGAGAAGUGCUACAGGAGGAGGACUAAUUGUGCACAGCAAAUGCACCACUAUUGCAUCUCAUCUGUACUGUCCAUAGCAAUUGUGGACUGCAUUUUCCUCCUUUAGUUUGAUUUCUUUGGAUUGAAUACGCUGUAUUUUCACCUUGCCUCUCUCCAGCAAGUGUACACUUUUCGAGGGACUCAGAGAAGUGCUGAUACACAUCAAUCAAGAGCUGCUGGUCAUCCAGAAAGACUGUGCACGUGUAAAUUUGUACUUGUCCUGAUGGGUCAUCCAGAAGAGUUUCAUGGAGAUCAGUUCACAAUAUUGGAAAGACUUUGUGACAAAGUCUGUAAUAUCAUUUAUACUCAGUAUUGGUAGGCUUUUUCCUUAAUACCCCCACUCCAACAAAACAGACCUACUUCCACUCCUCUUGAAAAGAUUAUUACCAUCACUAACUGCUUGUCUACUAUGUCUCCAAGGCAAGCCACAGGCUAUAAGUCUAUUCUGCAAAAGGAGCAGCAAAAAAUGCUUAGUGCAAUUCCUCUAUUUAAAGUUUGGUUAAUUUUUAAUUGUUUUGGUUAUUUGGUUUUCCUUCUAUUCAUUUGAAGAUUUGUUAUUUAUGUGUUGUUGUUGUUUUGUUCAUUUGCUUUUCUAUUUUGAUAAGGAUAUAGACUGUAUAUAUUGACUACCUGCAUCUGGUUACUAUCAAGUAAAUUGGAUGUAUUCUGGUCAAUAAAGGAGUAAUCUCAAACUCUU